AAUCAAUCUUAUUUUUCCUUGAUUAUUUUCUUUCCCCUCCCCUUUUCACCUAUCCAAACAAAUGGUUCUCCAUUAUCACUAUUCCAAAGUAAGUUUUCCUUGCCCAAACUCAUUGUGCUCAUGUCCCCCACCUGCUAAUAUUUCAUGUAUUUUCAUUAUUAUCGUGCUGUUUAUAUGUCAGUUCAAUUUUCACACAUUUGGCUGGAAGGACUUCACUGUGGAAGGCACUGUCUCUGCAAGUGCUGGAGGCAUCAUUCAAUAUGGCUUCUGAUGUAGAAAAGCAUUUCCCCUCAAAGAGAACUACUGGUACCUUCCCUCCGCCAAACUAAGAAGUGGGUCAGUUCUGUAGUCAGUGGCCAGAUUGUGGGUGUUGUUUUCUCAUUGGUGUGAACCUGCUAUUCACAAUAUAAUUCUUCUACUGCCCCUGUCUUGGUGCCAGAAUCGCUUACUGUUCACAUUGUAAUCUUGUUGGUGCCCCUGCCUUGGUAUUGGAAUGGCUUGGCGAAUUUACUGAAUGAAAUCCUUUGCUUGAUAUUGAUUGUACGGUGAGAUAUAUAUGAAUAGGUUGCUUGAUAGGGUCUGCAAUAUCUGGCUUCUAAGCAAGACUAAGAUAUGCACUAUAAUUAUAUGUGUUUCUGAGUGGAAUCAUUGAAUGGUGUGAAGCUUUUGUUUGCCUCAAAGUAUUCAUUUCUCUUUAUCUCUUUCACUCAGGUCACAACAGCUAAAUUCCAGUAAUAAAUUGCUUCUUUGAUUUUAGUUUGCAUUUGUUUUUUUCUCUUUUCAUGCUUAUAUGUUUUGAAUGAUGAUUUAGUUGAAUUCUUUGAUUCUAGUGUUUUUCUAUUCGCAGAAGUUGGCAAUAUUACAGGAAUUCAGCUUCUUCAAUACAUUAAUUCUACCAAGCAUUAUCAUCAGUGAUCAUUA
rnacentral:misc_RNA from 1 species